UUUUUUCCCAGCAGCCCACUCUUCGAGUCAGAUUCGCUUACAAGGAUGAGGUUUAUUAAGAUCCGUCAAGCAAAUCUCCAAUGGCGUCUUGUUGAACGACACUCACAACAACAAGUGUCUCAUGCGACGUGUUUUUGAGCUUCAGAAAGAUCUUCAUCAAUUUACCAUCAAAGAACAAACACAAACUUCAUAUAACAAAUGGCAGAAAUAUGAAAUAUGAAACUGCAAGGCGGUAUGGUUGGCGAGCGCUUUUGAAAACUAUGAUUUCAAUAAGCUACCAAUGCUACAACUUAAUAGGUGACAAAAAAAACUAAAGGGAGCAUCAAAGAUUUUAAAUUUGAAUUAGGAUUUUGUAUGUACAAUGUAGGGAUGGCAAUGGGUCGGGUUUGGGACGGGUUUAGGUAAUCCCAAACCCAAACCCAAACCCGGUUAGAUAAGCUUAUCCCAAACCCGUCCCAAAACCCGUCGGGUUUCUAACGGGUAAAUACCCAUCGGGUAUCGGGUAUACCCAUUGGGUAUCAGGUAUACCCGCGGGUUACGGGUAAACCCAUUAAUUUAAAAAGAUUACCCGUUGGGUAUACUCAUCUCAAAACCCAUUGGGUAUUUAUCGGGUAACUACUAACCGGUUACAUUUUGUAUUGUCAUUAUAAAAAUAUAUAUCAAAUAACUACAAUGUAUACGGAAUAGAAUACCUAUAUGUGUAAAAAAAUGGAGAAAAGAUAUGGUAAACCCAAGGAAGUAUGCGGUUCAAUCGGAUUGGAAAGCUCAUAUCAAGAUUUGCAGCAAUAGAGAGAUGGAAGAUAUUGUUGUCUAACACUCAAGAGAUGCUUCACUUCCAAUGAACGCCGGUGGUAGUGGUGGUGGCGGCAACGGUGGCGAACUUCUCCAAGAUAUAGUUGGUGGAGUGUUAGACAACAAUAUUGACGGCGGUGGUGGUGGCGGACUGCUCUAAGAUAUAGUUGGUGGUGGCGGCAACGGUGGUGGACUGCUCCAAGAUAUAGUUGGUGGAGUCUUAGACAACAAUGACAUCAGUGGAGCAAAACCAACGUCACCACUUUUGUUAGACUCACCACCGGAAAUGAUAUAUGAUGAACCGCGAUGGUCGUGGUAUUUUGAUUAAAGAUGAUGCUGAUAGGAGAAUCUAUAUAUACAAUAUAUAAUAUUGUGUACGGUAUUUUCAUUAUAAUAUUGUGUACGGUAAUUUCAUCGAUCAUUAUCCUCCUAUAUAAUAAAGGAAAAGUUGAUAGGUCACGU
rnacentral:lncRNA from 1 species